GAAAUUUUCAUGUACGGUUUUGUAGAGCGACAAUAAAUGUGAUUUAAUAAUUUCUUUGUGUAAUGUGGAGUCAUUGAAACGGCACCGUUUUAAUUCCUAUAAACUGGCAUCAUCAUCUUCAUCAUCAUUUCAAGUUGUUUAGCAGUGAAGAAGAGAAAUGUCUCUGGUCGACUAUGCAUCCUCCUCAGACGACGACGUAUCAGAUGCAGAAGAAGAACGCCAGCAAGAACAAAUACACGUCUCUAACCACAAACCCUCCCCGCCUACUCUUCCUCCUGAUAACCAGAGAUCUGGACUAUCAUCGAAUGAACAGGCAGAAACUGCCGUGCUUCCCUUUCCCUCAACGAGUGAGAAGCUUCCCGAUGCUUCACUUCUGUUGAAUUCUCAUACUGUCCCAUUUGUGAGUGGUAAUGACCAUGCUUCUCGAGUUGCAGCUGCAAUGGCUGAAAGUGCAUCUAGGAAAAGAAAUUCAAAUGGUCUGGCUUCCUCUCUUUCCCGCAAUAAAAUUCCAAGAGGGACAUUGCUUCAUAGUAAGAAUGUUCCAGAUACUGCUAGUGGUAUGUUACUACCACCCCAACUUCGUGGGAGAUAAAGGGAAAUUUAUUUUGACUGGGUUAUAUGUGUGCUAGAAGAAACGCAAAUAGGGAACCAUGUGGUUUUGUAGAGAAGGAAGAUCAAUCCAUUCUUGAGUAAUUAAGGUCCGAUAACAAUAAACUACGGGAGCCUUAACCCUCCUUGUCAUUCACUCCUCUAUUUCCCAUGGAGCAACAUUGUCACAGAAGAUAUUGGAAGGCUGUUUGUGAAAAAACAUGCUGAUAAUCCAGACGUUAUAGAAUCACCAGAUUAAUGAUAAUUUCUUUCGGAGUUGUUGUCGUAGUUUGUUUAAUGAAUCAUUCGCAACAACUUCUCGAUUGAGGAUUUUGCAGUUGUAUAAAUGUAAGGUAUAUUUCUGCAUACUCCUUGGAAAUCUGGAUGGUUUGUGAACAAGGGCACACCAUUGUUGGACACACAGGUCCAGUGACUAAAUUGCUUCAACUUUUGGCCUUGUCAUUUUGAACUGCUGGUUUGGUUGUUCGAAGUUCACCUUCUUAGGAUGUAUACUUCUAAUUACAAGGACUGUGUAAUAGACUACUGGUUGAAUUGAUCCUCUUGCCAUGUUUUAACAGUUUUGACUAUCCAGUUUGGACAUUUAGCUACGCCUAGACUUGCCUAAUAAUUUAAUUUUCCAUUAAGCAUUUUGUAAUA